UCUUUGUGUGCUACUCUUUUAAGGGCCAAGUACUAUCCUAAUGGUGAUUUGCUGAACUCCAAGCCAAAGCAUGGUGCUUCCUUCACAUGGCAAAGUAUUAUGGAAGGCAUCACUACUCUCAAGCGAGGUUAUAUUUGGCGAGUGGGGGAUGGACAUAACAUCAACAUUUGGGAAGAUGCCUGGAUCCCAAAUUGUGCCACUAGGAAGAUUGUUACCCCUAGGGGAGGGCACUUGUUAUCAAAAGUCGUAGAUUUGAUUGACCCGGUCUCCAACAGUUGGGAUGAGGACCUGAUUAGACAAACUAUGUGGACCAUUGAUGCACAACGAAUUCUUUCAAUCCCAAUUGCAACAUAAUAUGACAGAUUUAUUGCCUGGAGUUAUACGAAAAAUGGUAUGUUUUCAGUACGGUCUGCUUACUCUGUGGAGUGGAACUAUCAGUAUGGGAGCAAACUAAAAUAUUCCAACGGGAUGGAACGAAGCAUACCUAACCCUAUAUGGUGUCAGAUAUGGAAGUUAUCUUGUCCGGCUAAAGUCAAAAAAUUUGUAUGGCGGACACUACAUGGCACUCUCCCAUGUCGGGCAACACUCACUAAUAGGCACAUGAAGGUCUCACCCUCUUGCCCUACCUGCUCUCAGGGUGUAGAAGAUACGAAGCACUUGCUUUUCCUUUGUAGAAAAGCGAAGGAGGUUUGGAAAAGGCUAGGGUUGGAUUUGAUUAUU
rnacentral:rRNA from 1 species